UACGUAGGGUGCGAGCGUUGUCCGGAAUUAUUGGGCGUAAAGAGCUCGUAGGCGGUGUGUCACGUCGGCCGUGAAAACCUGCAGCUUAACUGUGGGCGUGCGGUCGAUACGGGCAUCACUGGAGUUCGGCAGGGGAGACUGGAAUUCCGGGUGUAGCGGUGAAAUGCGCAGAUAUCAGGAGGAACACCGGUGGCGAAGGCGGGGUCUCUGGGGCCGAUACUGACGCUGAGGAGCGAAAGCGUGGGGAGCAAACAGG
rnacentral:rRNA from 1 species